CCUACGGGAGGCAGCAGUGGGGAAUAUUGGACAAUGGGCGAAAGCCUGAUCCAGCCAUGCCGCGUGUGUGAAGAAGGCCUUCGGGUUGUAAAGCACUUUCAGUGGGGAAGAAAGCCUUGGGGCUAAUACCCUCGAGGAAGGACAUCACCCACAGAAGAAGCACCGGCUAACUCCGUGCCAGCAGCCGCGGUAAUACGGAGGGUGCGAGCGUUAAUCGGAAUUACUGGGCGUAAAGCGCGCGUAGGCGGUCUGAUAAGCCGGUUGGAAAGCCCCGGGCUCAACCUGGGAACGGCAUCCGGAAUGGUCAGGCAGGGGUGCAGAGGGGAAGGGAAGAAUUCCGGGGGUGGCGGGGAAUGGGGUGGGGACGGGAAGAAAAACCGGGGGGAAGGGCGGCCUCCGGACCGGCCACGACCCCUGGGGGCCAAAGCGGGGGUAGGCAAACGGGAUAGGUACCCCCAUUGUU
rnacentral:rRNA from 1 species